AUGAAACCAAAUAAAGCUCCUGGGCCAGAUAAUAUUCCUAUUGAGUUUUUCCAACAUUGUUGGGAGAUAGUGAAAAAUGAAGUGAUGAUGCUAUUUGACUGGUUCCAUGAUAACAAACUGGAUGUGCAGCGUCUCAAUUAUGGGAUCAUAACCCUACUACCUAAGGUUGUGGGGGCAAACAAGAUUCAGCAAUUCAGGCCUAUAUGCUUGCUUAGAUGUAUAUACAAGCUGAUCACCAAAGUACUUACUAUUAGGCUGGAGCCUUUUGUGGAUAUUCUUUUCAGUAGACAUCAAAAUGCUUUCAUUAAGAAGCGUGACAUCAUGGAUGGGAUCAUGUCCCUGCAUGAAAUCUUGCACCACACUUACAAUAGGAAGAAAACUGGUAUUGUGUUGAAACUGGACUUCGAAAAGGCUUACGAUAAAGUCAACUGGGACUUCCUUUUGGAUUGUCACAGAAUGAGAGAAUUCCAUCCGAAAUGGGUCGAGUGGGUCAGUAAAAUUUUAGUGGGGGGCACAGUUAGUGUGAAGUUGAAUGAUGAGGUGGGCCCAUAUUUUCAAAGCUCGAAAGGGGUGCGCCAAGGGGACCCUUUCUCACCAUUUCUUUUCAAUUUAGCUGCUGAUUGUUUGAUAAAAAUGAUUCUUAAAGCCCAACAAAACGGCUUGUUCAAGGGUCUGGCCUCGGACUUGAUUCCAAAUGGAGUAGCUAUUCUCCAGUACGCGGAUGACACAAUUUUGUGCUUCGAGGAUAAUAUCAGGAAUGCUCUGAACAUUAAGUUGCUUUUAUACCUCUUUGAGGUCAUGUCAGGUCUAAAAAUUAACUUCCUGAAGAGCGAGAUCUUCUCUAUCCGUGCGGACGAUGAGACUAUGCAUAAAUAUGCUGAGAUGUUUAACUGCCAGAUAGGUAACUUUCCUAUGAAAUACCUAGGCAUGCCGGUCAGUUAUGCUGGUUUGAAAUGUGGGGGUUGGAGUUUUGUGGAGGACAAAUUCACCAUGCAUGGUGAAAACUGGAUUAGUGAAGUACUG
rnacentral:rRNA from 1 species